GAGGGUGAAAGCCGGGGAGCGAACGGAUUAAUACCCGGGUAGUCCCGGCUGUAAACGAUGCGGGCUAGCUGUUGGGUGGGCUUAGAGCCCACCCAGUGGCGCAGGGAAGCCGUUAAGCCCGCCGCCUGGGGAGUACGGCCGCAAGGCUGAAACUCAAAGGAAUUGGCGGGGGAGCACCACAAGGGGUGGAGCCUGCGGUUUAAUUGGAGUCAACGCCGGGAAUCUUACCGGGGGAGACAGCAGGAUGACGGCCAGGCUGAAGGCCUUGCCCGACGCGCUGAGAGGAGGUGCAUGGCCGUCGCCAGACACGCCCAUGGCCCUCUCGCGGGGCCGUGGCGUGGGCGAGCUCGUGUCGUGAGAUGUCCGGUUAAGUCCGGCAACGAGCGAGACCCCCGCCCCCAGUUGCUACCUCGGCCUCUGGGCCGAGGGCACACUGGGGGGACUGCCGCCGUUUAAGGCGGAGGAAGGAGGGGGCCACGGCAGGUCAGCAUGCCCCGAAUCCCCCGGGCUACACGCGGGCUACAAUGGCGGGGACAGCGGGUGCCGACCCCGAAAGGGGGAGGCAAUCCCUCAAACCCCGCCGCAGUUGGGAUCGAGGGCUGCAACUCGCCCUCGUGAACGAGGAA
rnacentral:rRNA from 1 species